rnacentral:rRNA from 1 species
GACGAACGCUGGCGGCGUGCCUAAUACAUGCAAGUUGAGCGCUGGGGGGAGGUACUUGUACCACCUGGAUGAGCAGCGAACGGGUGAGUAACACGUGGGGAACCUGCCUUUGAGCGGGGGACAACUUCUGGAAACGAGUGCUAAUACCGCAUAAAAACUUUAACCACAAGUUUCAAGUUUGAAAGAUGCAAUUGCUGUACUUAAAAGUGAUACCGGCGUGUAUUAGCUAGUUGGGUAGGUAAAGGCUCACCAAGGCGAUGAUACAUAGCCGACCUGAGAGGGUGAUCGGCCACACUGGGACUGAGACACGGCCCAGACUCCUACGGGAGGCAGCAGUAGGGAAUCUUCGGCAAUGGACGAAAGUCUGACCGAGCAACGCCGCGUGAGUGAAGAAGGUUUUCGGAUCGUAAAACUCUGUUGGUAGAGAAGAACGUUGGUGUGAGUGGAAAGCUCCUCAAGGGACGGUAAUUACCCAGAAAGGGACGGCUAACUACGG